rnacentral:rRNA from 1 species
CCCUCUUGAAAGAGCAGGAAUAGUUGCCACGACUACGACUCCAGGUCAGGCGGGACUACUUGUUGAGUUUAAACAUAUCAAUAAGCGAAGGAAAAGCCCGAGCUUAGAAUCGGGCGGCCCUUCCAUCUGUAUUGUAGCCUGGAGAAGCGUCCUUAGCGCCGGAUCGAGCACAAGUCCCCUGGAAUAGGGAAUCAGAGAGGGUGAUAGUCCCAUUAUGCUCGGACCCUGUUGCACCACGAGAUACUGUCGGCAAAUCGGGUUGUUUGGGAAUAUAGCUAUAAUCGGGCAGUAAAUUCCAUCUAAAGCUAAAUAUGGGCGAGAGGUCGAUAGCAAACAAGUACCGCAAGGGAAAGAUGAAAAGGACUUCGAAAAGAGAGUCAAAAUGUGCUUGAAAUUGUCGGGAGGGAAGCAGAUGGGGGCCAGCAAUGCGUCCCGAUCGAUGUGAAACAUUGUUUAAACGGUCUGCCAAUCGGGUCGGGGCAUAGACCGAUGCGGAUUUGGGCAGCGGCCAAAGCCCGGGCUGUAGAUAUGCUCGCGGAGACUCUAUUGCCUCAAUCGUUGAGGGGUAUCGUGCGCCAUUGGCGUGCUUCGGCAUCUGNNNNNNAGUGCAGGCUUGCGGGCUCCCCAUUUGACCCAUUUUGAAACAUAGACCAAGGAGUCUCUCAUGUGUGCUAGUCAACGGGUGAGUAAACCCGUAAAGUGCAAGGAACCUGAUCGGCAAGAUCUCCCCGAAGAGUGCACUGCUGAUAAACCUUGAUCUUCUGAGAAGGGUUAGAGUGUGAGAAUAUCUGUCAAGACCCAAAAGAUGGUGAACUAUGCUUGAGUGGGGCGAAGCCAGAGGAACACUCUGGUGGAGGCCCACAGCGAUACUGACGUGAAAAUCAUUCGUCUGAAUUUGGUAUAGGGGUGAAAGACUAUCGAACCGUCUUGUAGCUGUUUCCCUCUGAAGUUUCCCUCAAGAUAGUUGGAGCUUACUGGUAGUUCUAUUGGGUAAAGCCAAUGAUUAGAGGCAUUAGGGACGCAAUGCCCUCAACCUAUUCUCAUACAUUAAGUAGGUAGGACGGGGCGGCUCCUUUGUUGGCCAUUUUUGGUAAGCAGAACUGGUGAUGCAGGAUGAACCAGAAGCCCAGUUACGGUGCAGUAACCUAGAUACCAUAAAGGCUGUUGGUCGAUUAAGACAACAGGACGGUGGUUAUAGAAGUCAAAAUCCGCUAAGGAGUGUGUAACAACUCACCUGCCAAAUCAACUAGCCCAAAAAUGGAUGGUGCUCAAGCGUACAACUUAUUCCCAACCGUUGGGGCAAGUGCCAAGCCCCAAUGAGUAGGAGGUGCGGCGGUCACUGUAAAACUUGGGGCACGAGCCUGGACAGAGUGACCGUCGGUGCAGAUCUUUGUGGUAGUAGCUAAUAUUCAAAUGAGAACUUUGAAGGUUAAAGAGGGGAAAGGUUCCAUGUGAACGACACUUGCACAUUUCUUGGUCGAUCCUAAGGGUCGAGGAAAGCUUGACAGAUAGCUCGUUCAGCGCAUGCUCCGAAAGAGAAUCAGGUUAAUUACAACGUUAAGAUUUCUGGAGAUGUUGGCGGGGGCCUCGGGAAGAGUUAUCUUUUCUAUUUAAAAGCUUGCCUUCCUUAGAAACAGCUCAGCUGGAGAUAGGGUCUAGCAGCUAGAAGAGCACCGCACGUCACGCGGUGUCCGGUGUGCUCUCGGUGGCCCUUGAAAAUUUGGAGGACCGAGUACUAUUCACGCCCAGUUGAAUUCAUAACCGCAUUAGGUCUCCAAGGCGAACAGCCUCUGGUCGAUGGAAUAGUGUAUGCAAUGGACGUUGGAAAAAUGGCCGUAACCUUGAGAAAAAGAUUGGCUCUAAGAGCUGGGCAGAAGGGUCUUAAUCCCGAACCUAAAGGCUAUUAGUGGACUGCUCGAGCACUCUUGCAGCGAGAGCUGGUCGUCGCGUACCGCCAUAGGACUGACUGGGAAUGGCUCUUUCGGGGGUCUUUCCCGGGCAUCAAACAACUAACUCAGAAUUGGUACAAACAAGGAGAAUCCGAUUAUGUAACUAUAACAAAUCAUUGCGAUGGUCCCUAUGGAUGCUAACGCAAUGUGAUUUCUGCUCAGUGCCAUGAAUGUCAAAGUAAAGAAAUUCAACUAUGCACGGGUAGAGUAACUAUGACUCUCUUAAGGUAGCCAAAUGACUCGUCAUCUAAUUGCUGAUGCGCAUGAAUGGAUUAAGAAGAUUACCACUGUCCUUGUCUAUCAUCCAGCGAAAUCAUAGCCAAGAGAACAGGCUUGGCAGAAUCAAUGAGGAAAGAAGACCCUGUUGAGUUUAACUCUAGUCUGACCUUGUGAAAUGACUUGGGAGGUGUAGGAUAAGUGGGAGCCUUCGGGUGAAAGUGAAAUACCCUUACUUUUAACAUUAUUUUACUUAUUCUGUGAAUCGGAAGCAGAUCUAUGCCCCUUUUUUUUGGACCUAAGGUCCUCGGCGGUCGAUCCGGGUAGAAGACAUUGUAAGGUGGGGAGUUUGGCUAGGGAAGAACAUCUGUUAAAAGAUAACGCAUGUGUCCUAAGAUGAGCUCAAUGAGAACAUAAAUCUCGUGUGGAAAAGAAUGGUAAAAGCUUGUUUGAUUCUGAUUUCCAGUAUGAAUACGAACCAUGAAAGCGUGGCCUAACGAUCCUUUAGACCUUCGAAAUUUGAAACUAGAAAUGACAGAAAAUUUUUCAGAGGGAUAACUAGCUUGUGGCAACCAAGCACUCAUAGCGUCAUUGCUUUUUGAUCCUUCGAUGUCGGCUCUUCCUAUCAUUAUGAUGCAGAAUUCACCAAGUGUUGGAUUAUUCAUCCACCAAUAGAGAACGUGAGCUGUGUUUAGACCGUCAUGAGACAUGUUAGUUUUACCCUACAGAUGAUAGUGUCAUAAUAGUAACUAAACCUAGUAUGCAAAGAACCAUUGAUUCGCACAAUUGGUCAUCACGCUUGGUUGAAAAGCCAGUGGCGCGAAGCUACCGUGUGUUGGAUUAUGAUCAAACGCCUCUAAGUCAAAAUCCAAGCUAGAAGCGAUGCGUAUGUUCGCCAUCAGUUUUUCGACCUGCAGUAGGGGACUUUGGCUCCGAAGAGCACGUGUCGUUAGCUAAGCCAGUGCAGCAGAAGAGCCGUGACGAUCACCUUGAGUACAAUUC